rnacentral:rRNA from 1 species
GACGAACCGAGCGAACGUUGUUCGGAAUCACUGGGCUUAAAGGGCGCGUAGGCGGGCUGCCAAGUUUGGGGUGAAAUCCGUCGGCUUAACCGGCGAAGUGCCUCGAAUACUGGCGGUCUCGAGGGAGGUAGGGGCGUGCGGAACUGUAGGUGGAGCGGUGAAAUGCGUUGAUAUCUACAGGAACUCCGGUGGCGAAGGCGGCACGCUGGACCUUUUCUGACGCUGAGGCGCGAAAGCCAGGGGAGCGAACGGG